ensembl:snRNA U1 U1 spliceosomal RNA
AGAAGUGCUGGCAGCAGAGAUAUUGAGAUCAUGAAGGUAAUUUUCCCAGGGUGAGGCUCACUUAGCCAUUGCACUCCGGAUGUGCUGAACCCUGUGAUUUCCCAAGUGCGAAAAAAUCAGCGGCCUAAUUUGUGGUACUGUGGACUGUAUUUGUGCUUCCACU